AACAACAACAACUUAUUCCAAAAAUCUCUUGUCCAUUGAACUUACUAGUGGUGCUCUACACUGCUAUGGUGAUGGUCCCCAAACAGGCUAGGAUGCUUGCACAAAAAAUUUCUCACAACUAAAAGAUAGUACCCUUAAUUAAAUGCAGAUAAACAGAGAUGAAAUGGAACAAAAUUCACCAAGAAAAGAGGGGGGAGAGGAGGAGAAGAAGGUCACCUGCGUAGGAUGGCGAGGACGGCGCCGUCGGGGCCAUGGAGCGCGACGUCCGGGCUGGACCCGAUCUCCUCCUUCUCCCGGUCGCCGAUGGCGAGGACGAUGGGGAGCGACAUGUUGACGACGCCCGCGCCGUCGGGGAGGCGGAUGCAGUUGAAGUGCAGCGACUGGAGGUACUCGUGCUCCCGCAUGAACC